rnacentral:rRNA from 1 species
UGGGGAAUCUUGCACAAUGGGCGAAAGCCUGAUGCAGCGACGCCGCGUGCGGGAUGAAGGCCUUCGGGUUGUAAACCGCUUUCAGCAGGGACGAGGCCGCAAGGUGACGGUACCUGCAGAAGAAGCCCCGGCUAACUACGUGCCAGCAGCCGCGGUAAUACGUAGGGGGCAAGCGUUAUCCGGAUUUAUUGGGCGUAAAGCGAGCGCAGGCGGUUAGAAAAGUCUGAAGUGAAAGGCAGUGGCUCAACCAUUGUAGGCUUUUGAAACUGUUUAACUUGAGUGCAGAAGGGGAGAGUGGAAUUCCAUGUGUAGCGGUGAAAUGCGUAGAUAUAUGGAGGAACACCGGUGGCGAAAGCGGCUCUCUGGUCUGUAACUGACGCUGAGGCUCGAAAGCGUGGGGAGCGAACAGG